rnacentral:rRNA from 1 species
CUUAAACCAAAAUUGGGAAUCGGUGCUAGCAAUCUGGAACUCCGAUUUGACGCUACGACAAAAGGUUCUACUGCAAAACUCAGCUGUAUUGGCCAAAUUCCGCUAUGUCUUCAUCAACUACCUUAUGGGUGGCGGAUGGCUAGAUGCGGAACUGAAAGCCAGCCGAGACCUGGACACCAAGGUCAGGCAAUGGCUUGUCACAGCAAAAGCGAGAUAUGCCCAUAGUAGAAUCUGCCGAUUAUAUUUGCCACGCAGGGAAGGAGGAUUUGGACUUCGGAGCAUAGAGGUUGAGCUACUCAUCUCCAAGAUUUACGCGUAUGCGUACGUUUUGCUGCAACCGAGUCUACAACCCCUUAACCAACUGUGUCAAAGAAUGACUAGAAGUUCAAAAAGAAACCUCCAGUCUGAUUUUGACAAAAUUGUUAGCAAAUAUAAACUGACAAUUCGGAACUCCGAGGAUGGUGGUAUCGUAUUCUGUGAAAACGGAGUCCCCAUCCUGGAGAACCCCACCUCAUCCCGGACUUUGGCCCGGACUAUCAUCACGCGUAUCAAGGAUACAUAUAUCCAGGAAUGGCGAAAAGAAUGGACCGAUGGGCGAAGGACAGACCGAGGAGAAGCAACUCGAUCUGCCGAAAUUCUUAGGUUGGGCCAUGUAGACCUCGAAGCUAGCUGGUAUUGGCUAAAGGUGGGACAUCUGAAUACAAUGUCAGUCCGAAACAUCAUUGCCUGUCAGGAAGGCUGUCUUCUAACGAGGACGCAUUUCAGCAAUACUACACGCGGAAAAACGUGUAGGUACAAAUGCUGGAUCACUCACCCUGGCCAGGUCUCAGGGUGCCCUCGAUGGAGAGCAACGCUGAUGUAUCAAAGACAUGACAGCGUUGCCAGGGUACUGCACUACAAUUAUUGUAUAAAGUAUGGGCUAAAACCCAUACACUAUACACAACAAAUACCUCAUCUCUUGCAGAAUGAAAAGGUUAAAUUGUGGUGGAACGAGAAAAUGGAUACUGUCAAUCCCAUCGAACAUUGUGUACCAGACUUGGCCGUGUUCGACCUCGUCGAGAAAACCAUUCUCGUAAUAGAGGUGACAGUUGCCUGGGUAUCAGGUCUUGAGACCGCAGAACAUAGGAAGAUUCGGAAAUAUACGAUAAACUCCAAUCUCCCAGACGAUUACAACGGUCAACCGACGAUUGGUCCUAAUCUUAUGAACGAGCUGAAAAACACUCACCGCGACUGGAAAGCUGACUUCGUUCCAGUAGUCAUCGGUUGUUGUGGUGAGAUAACCAAAAGCUUCGUUGAACGAUAUGAGAUGUUAGGACUACCGCUGAGCGAUAAGACGGAGAUAAUAGCUAGAAUGUGUAGAUCAGCGGUGCUCGGCUCGGAUAGAAUCAUCCGAACUCACUUGGCACGUGAGGAAUGAGACGUCGUGUCACUCGAACACAGUGACAAAGAGCGCCAAGUAAAUAGACCCUUAGGUCACAACUCUUGGCAAGUUUCUAGGCUCAAAACAAGGGUUACAGGCGUUUACGCCUGUCCAUCUUUAGACUUCGGUCUAAUAAGUCAGACCUCAAGAAGGUCGGCCCUCCCUUGAAUUGUUUCUUGGUGAGGUGCACUGCAUCGAGUAUCCUCGGAUCAGAGGUGCAGGCAGGCUGGCCGGUGACGGCCAGAACCCUACGGGACGCGCAUGAAUGGAUUAACGAGAUUCCCACUGUCCCUAUCUACUAUCUAGCGAAACUACAGCCAAGGGAACGGGCUUGGCGAAAACAGCGGGGAAAGAAGCCCUGUUGAGCUUGACUCUAGUUCGACUCUGUGAUGAGUCUUAGAGGUGUAGCAUAAGUGGGAGAUCUUCGGAUCGCAAGUGAAAUACCACUACUUUCAACGAUUUUUUACUUACUCGAUUAGACGACGCCUUUAUGUGUUUUGGGUUUAAACGUUGGCACUUGGUGCUAGCGUGAGUCGCGUCGAGAAAAAAGUCAGACGGGGAGUUUGACUGGGGCGGUACAUCUAUCAAAUCGUAACGUAGGUGUCCUAAGGCUGGCUCAGAGAGGUUGGAAACCUUUCGUAGAGUAAAAGGGCAAAAGCGAGCUUGAUCUAGAUUUUCAGUACGAAUACAGACCGUGAAAGCGUGGCCUAUCGAUCCUGUUGAUUUGAAAAGUUUUCAGUAAGAGGUGUCAGAAAAGUUACCACAGGGAUAACUGGCUUGUGGCAGCCAAGCGUCCAUAGCGACGUUGCUUUUUGAUCCUUCGAUGUCGGCUCUUCCUAUCAUUGAGAAGCAGAAUUCUCCAAGCGUUGGAUUGUUCACCCACUAAUAGGGAACGUGAGCUGGGUUUAGACCGUCGUGAGACAGGUUAGUUUUACCCUACUGUUGACUAAUUUAAAGGUUGUUGAAAGAGGAAUCGUGUCCAGUACGAGAGGAACCGCUGGUUCAGACAUUUGGUUAAGUGCCUAGGUGAGAGGCUAAAGGGGCGACGCUACCAUCUGACUAAUUAUGACUGAACGCCUCUAAGUCAGAAUUGGAGCUCGUUAAGUAAACAAUAGCAAUGGCUUCCUGAUGUCGGGAGGCUGCUUUAUCUGGUACUUUGGUGCUAGAACUUUUGCCCUAGUUUUGACUUGACUCGAUCGCUUAAGUGUGGUCGAGUUGUUGAAGCCGGAGUUUACUCUGGCGGAAAUGUCGGGGCGCAAAUUCGUUUGAAGACGACUUAAUCACUGAUCGAGGGGUUGUUAUCGUUCGAGCAUUCUUUCUUUGCGAGACGUUGAGACUUCCUUUUGAUCGGUUUGAAUUGUUUAA